UGUACCAAUUCGUGUUUGUGGCGGUGUAAAUUUUGCAUUUGUUUUACAUUCGUUUUCUCGUUUCUACUAAACAUUUACCAGUUUUGUGUGUAAAAAUAAACGCCCACACAGCUAAAAUAUUUAAAAACUUGAGACAGCCACGUCUGGAUUCACCAGAAGAAGAUGAACAGGAGAUUCCAAAGAAAAGUAAUGACGAAUGCGACAACAAACAAAAAAAUGGACCCGGAACAUCAAACGUUUUUGCUUCUAUACCAAAUAAUGAAAGAAUACUGCGUCCAACGGUUUUAGGGAACCAUCUAGAAGCACAAUCUUUAGUAGAUAUUUCGGGCACCUCCAGUAGGGAACCCACGUUGGAUAGCGAACUAGCUUCGAGUAACCUUUCGGACUUUUCAUCAGAUAACUAUAAUCCCGAAGAGGAAUUAACUUCUAGCAGUUCUUCCUACUCUUCUUGUUCGAGCUCUAGCGAUACAUCUAAAUCAUAGGAUCAAAAUGAAAUUAAAGAAAAUAUAUUAAGUGAGUGCCCUAAGAGGAAGAAGAAAAGCAUAAACGAUUGGAAGAAAAACAUAAAGAAACAAAAAAGGUUAAAAGGAGAGUCUUAUGUCUGUUCUAGAAAUAAAGAGAGACCAGCACGUCCCAUGUUACCAUCCCUAUGUUUUGGUAAAGCAAACCACCAAUGUGAUACUUUUAUCAACGAAGAAAAUCGACUCAAAAUUUACAAUGAAUUCCCUCAAAUGAUUUCGGUUGAUGAUCAGCGAGUUUUCUUAAAUAGUCAUAUUGAUAAACAAAAGAAAAAGAGAGUGACUAGAAACAUUGAAAAUUCAAGAAGAACGUUUACCAUGAAUUACUCUUUUACCGUCAAUGGGGAAAAAAGACAAGUAUGCCGGGCUUCUUUUGUGGCUACACUCAAUGUUACAGAUGCAUUUAUGCGCGGAGCUGUGGCAAAGCUUUCUUCCAGCGGCAUAGUUGAAAAAGAAAAUCGUGGAAAACGUGUCCCACAAAAUAAAUUAAAACAUGAUUAUAAACUGCUGAUUCGUAAGCACAUUCUUUCAUUUACAGCCGUGGAGUCCCAUUAUUGUAGAGCCUUUAGUACCAAAAGGAUUCUUCACUAAACGUCUCUAUUAUGCACAAAUUGUACAAAUCAAAGUGCUCAGAAUUAAAUGUCCAUCCAGUUUUUUUCGAAAAAUAUCGACGACUGUUUAAAAGUUAUAACUUGGAGUUUCAUAAACCCAAAAAGGACCAGUGUAAAAAGUGCUUAAAAUAUACGAAUAUGACAGAGGAGGAAAAAAAGGCACAUGAAGAGGUUCAUUGCGAACACACGCUAAGAAAAAAAUUAGCUCGUGAGACUCGAGAUGAAGACAAAGAAAUUGCAAAAAAUAAUUCAGAGGUACUAUCAUUCAACUUUGACCUUGAGGCAGUGCUAACGACUCCAAAAGGUCCAACAGGACAAAUAUUUUACCUACGAAAAUUGGCGGUUCUCAACCUGACUGUCUACAAUUUAGGAAAUCAGGACGGAAUCUGUUACCUUUGGGAUGAAACCCAAGGAAAAAGGGGGUCAAACGAGAUAUCCUCGUGUAUUUAUAAUUACAUAAUCAAUCAACAAAACAUUACUGAAGUUCGAAUGAUGUCGGACGGGUGUGGCGGCCAACAAAAAAAUUCACAUUUUGCUGCUAUGUGCUUGAAACUUCUUACGGAUCAUACCAAUUUAAAGACUAUUGAUCACAAGUUUUUUGAAACAGGACAGACCGAGAUGGAGUGUGAUUCACUCCACUCGAAAAUCGAACAAAAAUCAAAAUAUGCUCCUGUUUAUUCACCCGAAGGUUGGGCUCAGAUAGGAAUAGGGAUAAGAAGUGCUCCACCACAGCCUUUUGAAGUCAGAUUCAUGGUGUUUGAUGACGUCUUUAAUUUCAAGUCUUUUGGAAUACAAAAUUAUAAAUUGAACCAAAUUUCCUGGCAACAAGUUUUUUUUUAUACAUUAAAACCAUAAAAAAAAUUUUGGAGAUGAAUUUCAACAAGUAGACAGCAUGUAAAGCCGUGGACGACCCAAAAACGUUGACUUGAAGAAAGCCUAUGAUAAGCAGUUGCCAAUUGUGAUUGCCAAAUAUAAAGAUCUUCAGAAAAUGUGCAAUGACUUAACCAUUCCAAAGAACUAUCAUAACUUUUAUAAUUCCAUAAAUGCUGAUAAAAAUAUAAGAGACAAUUUACCGGAGCCAAACGAAAGCGAAGAUUCAGAUGAAAACUAAAUUAUUCUAAAAUAUGAUUUAAG